CGAAGCAUGGCAGUGACAGGAGGUCUGAAACCCCGCAAGAAGGGGAGAAGCAGAGCAAAAUUAUCAGAUAAAAGAAGAAAAAGCCUUUCUUCCAAAG
rnacentral:ribozyme from 1 species